GUGAAAGCCCACGGCUCAACCGUGGAGGGUCAUUGGAAACUGGAAAACUUGAGUGCAGAAGAGGAAAGUGGAAUUCCAUGUGUAGCGGUGAAAUGCGCAGAGAUAUGGAGGAACACCAGUGGCGAAGGCGACUUUCUGGUCUGUAACUGACGCUGAUGUGCGAAAGCGUGGGGAUCAAACAGGAUUAGAUACCCUGGUAGUCCACGCCGUAAACGAUGAGUGCUAAGUGUUAGGGGGUUUCCGCCCCUUAGUGCUGCAGCUAACGCAUUAAGCACUCCCCCCGGGGAGUACGACCGCAAGGUUGAAACUCAGAGGAAUUGACGGGGACCCGCACAAGCGGUGGAGCAUGUGGUUUAAUUCGAACCAGCGCGAAGAACCUUACCAAAUCUUGACAUCCUUUGACAACUCUACACAUACAGCCUUCCCCUUCG
rnacentral:rRNA from 2 species